rnacentral:rRNA from 1 species
GACGAACGCUGGCGGCGUGCUUAACACAUGCAAGUCGAGCGGAAAGGCCCUUUCGGGGGUACUCGAGCGGCGAACGGGUGAGUAACACGUGAGCAACCUGCCCUUCACUUGGGGAUAACCAUCGGAAACGGUGGCUAAUACCCGAUACGACACACCGGGGCAUCUCGUGUGUGUGGAAAGUUUUUCGGUGGGGGAUGGGCUCGCGGCCUAUCAGCUUGUUGGUGGGGUGAUGGCCUACCAAGGCGACGACGGGUAGCCGGCCUGAGAGGGCGACCGGCCACACUGGGACUGAGACACGGCCCAGACUCCUACGGGAGGCAGCAGUGGGGAAUAUUGCGCAAUGGGCGGAAGCCUGACGCAGCGACGCCGCGUGAGGGAUGACGGCCUUCGGGUUGUAAACCUCUUUCAGCAGGGACGAAGCGCAAGUGACGGUACCUGCAGAAGAAGCACCGGCCAACUACGUGCCAGCAGCCGCGGUAAGACGUAGGGUGCAAGCGUUGUCCGGAUUUAUUGGGCGUAAAGAGCUCGUAGGCGGCUCGUCGCGUCGACCGUGAAACCCUAGGGCUUAACCCUGGGCUUGCGGUCGAUACGGGCGGGCUAGAGUUCGGUAGGGGAGACUGGAAUUCCUGGUGUAGCGGUGAAAUGCGCAGAUAUCAGGAGGAACACCGGUGGCGAAGGCGGGUCUCUGGGCCGAUACUGACGCUGAGGAGCGAAAGCGUGGGGAGCGAACAGGAUUAGAUACCCUGGUAGUCCACGCUGUAAGCGUUGGGCGCUAGGUGUGGGG